rnacentral:rRNA from 1 species
UACGUAGGGGGCAAGCGUUGUCCGGAAUUAUUGGGCGUAAAGCGCGCGCAGGCGGUUGAUUAAGUUUGGUGUUUAAGCCCGGGGCUCAACCCCGGUUCGCACUGAAAACUGAUCGACUUGAGUGUAGGAGAGGAAAGUGGAAUUCCACGUGUAGCGGUGAAAUGCGUAGAGAUGUGGAGGAACACCAGUGGCGAAGGCGACUUUCUGGCCUAUAACUGACGCUGAGGCGCGAAAGCGUGGGGAGCAAACAGGG